rnacentral:rRNA from 1 species
ACGGCUCAGUAACACGUGGACAAUCUAACCUACGGAAGAGGAUAACCCCGGGAAACUGGGGAUAAUACUCUAUAGACUAUGGAUGCUGGAAUGCUUUGUAGUCCAAAGGUCCGCCGCCGUAGGAUGGGUCUGCGGCCGAUUAGGUUGUUGUUGGGGUAACGGCCCAACAAGCCUGUAAUCGGUACGGGUUGUGGGAGCAAGAGCCCGGAGAUGGAUUCUGAGACACGAAUCCAGGCCCUACGGGGCGCAGCAGGCGCGAAAACUUUACAAUGCGGGAAACCGUGAUAAGGGAACUCCGAGUGCCCGUAAAAUCGGGCUGUCCAUCAGUUUAAAUAACUGGUGAAGAGAGGGCCGGGCAAGACCGGUGCCAGCCGCCGCGGUAAUACCGGCGGCUCGAGUGGUGGCCACUAUUACUGGGCUUAAAGCGUUCGUAGCUGGUUUGUUAAGUCCCUGGGGAAAUCUUCCGGCUUAACCGGAAGGCGUCUCAGGGAUACUGGCAGACUAGGGACCGGGAGAGGUGAGGGGUACUCCAGGGGUAGGAGUGAAAUCCUGUAAUCCUUGGGGGACCACCUGUGGCGAAGGCGCCUCACCAGAACGGCUCCGACAGUGAGGGACGAAAGCUGGGGGAGCAAACCGGAUUAGAUACCCGGGUAGUCCCAGCCGUAAACGAUGCGCGUUAGGUGUAUCAGUGACCACGAGUCACUGAGGUGCCGAAGAGAAAUCGUGAAACGUGCCGCCUGGGAAGUACGGUCGCAAGGCUGAAACUUAAAGGAAUUGGCGGGGGAGCAC